AACGAACGCUGGCGGCGCGCUUAACACAUGCAAGUCGAACGAGAAGGCGUAGCAAUACGCUUGUACAGUGGCGAACGGGUGAGUAAUACGUGGGCGACCUACCCUCGAGUGGGGAAUAACCCGCCGAAAGGCGGGCUAAUGCCGCGUACGCUUCCAUCUUUAUGGAGGUGGAAGGAAAGCCGUGCCGUGGGCACGGCGCUCAAGGAUGGGCUCACGUCCUAUCAGCUUGUUGGAGGGUAACGGCCUACCAAGGCUCCGACGGGUAGCUGGUCUGAGAGGACGAUCAGCCACACUGGCACUGCGACACGGGCCAGACUCCUACGGGAGCAGCAGUGAGGAAUAUUGCGCAAUGGGCGAAAGCCUGACGCAGCGACGCCGCGUGGGGGA
rnacentral:rRNA from 1 species